GCCCGGCUAGCUCAAUCGGUAGAGCGUGAGACUCUUACAAACUCACGUAAUCUCAAGGUUGUGGGUUCGACCCCCACGUCGGGCU